rnacentral:rRNA from 1 species
AGAGUUUGAUCCUGGCUCAGAGCGAACGUUAGCGGCGGGCCUAACACAUGCAAGUCGCACGAGAAAGUCCUUCGGGACCGGUAAAGUGGCGCACGGGUGAGUAACGCGUAGGUAACCUACCUUCCAGCGGGGGAUAACGUUCCGAAAGGAACGCUAAUACCGCAUAAGACCACGCUCUCUGCGGAGAGAGUGGGAAAAGACGGCCUCUUCAUGAAAGCUGUCACUGGGAGAUGGGCCUGCGUCCCAUCAGCUAGUUGGCGAGGUAACGGCUCACCAAGGCGAAGACGGGUAGCUGGUCUGAGAGGAUGAUCAGCCACACUGGCACUGGAACACGGGCCAGACUCCUACGGGAGGCAGCAGUGAGGAAUAUUGGGCAAUGGGCGAAAGCCUGACCCAGCCACGCCGCGUGAGUGAUGAAGGCCUUCGGGUUGUAAAGCUCUGUGGGGAGGGAAGAAAAAGCGGGAGAGUAACUGCUCUCGUGUUGACGGUACCUCCUUAGCAAGCACCGGCUAACUCUGUGCCAGCAGCCGCGGUAAUACAGAGGGUGCAAACGUUGCUCGGAAUUACUGGGCGUAAAGCGCGUGUAGGCUGACAUGCAAGUCGGGUGUGAAAUCCCAGGGCUCAACCUUGGAACUGCACUCGAAACUGCACGUCUUGAGUACUGGAGAGGGAAGCGGAAUUCCGGGUGUAGAGGUGAAAUUCGUAGAUAUCCGGAGGAACACCAGUGGCGAAGGCGGCUUCCUGGACAGUAACUGACGCUGAGACGCGAAAGCGUGGGGAGCAAACAGGAUUAGAUACCCUGGUAGUCCACGCCGUAAACGAUGUGCACUAGGUGUCACGGACUUUGACCGCUGUGGUGCCGUAGCUAACGCGUUAAGUGCACCGCCUGGGGAGUACGGCCGCAAGGCUAAAACUCAAAGGAAUUGACGGGGGCCCG